GAUGAACGCUAGCGGGAGGCCUAACACAUGCAAGCCGAGCGGUAGAGUCUCUUCGGAGACUUGAGAGCGGCGCACGGGUGCGGAACACGUGUGCAACCUGCCUUUAUCUGGGGGAUAGCCUUUCGAAAGGAAGGUUAAUACCCCAUAAUAUACUGGAUGGCAUCAUUCGGUAUUGAAAACUCCGGUGGAUAGAGAUGGGCACGCGCAAGAUUAGAUAGUUGGUGAGGUAACGGCUCACCAAGUCAGCGAUCUUUAGGGGGCCUGAGAGGGUGAUCCCCCACACUGGUACUGAGACACGGACCAGACUCCUACGGGAGGCAGCAGUGAGGAAUAUUGGACAAUGGGUGAGAGCCUGAUCCAGCCAUCCCGCGUGAAGGACGACGGCCCUAUGGGUUGUAAACUUCUUUUGUACAGGGAUAAACCUAUUUACGUGUAAAUAGCUGAAGGUACUGUACGAAUAAGCACCGGCUAACUCCGUGCCAGCAGCCGCGGUAAUACGGAGGGUGCAAGCGUUAUCCGGAUUUAUUGGGUUUAAAGGGUCCGUAGGCUGAUUUGUAAGUCAGUGGUGAAAUCUCACAGCUUAACUGUGAAACUGCCAUUGAUACUGCAAGUCUUGAGUGUUGUUGAAGUAGCUGGAAUAAGUAGUGUAGCGGUGAAAUGCAUAGAUAUUACUUAGAACACCAAUUGCGAAGGCAGGUUACUAAGCAACAACUGACGCUGAUGGACGAAAGCGUGGGGAGCGAACAGGAUUAGAUACCCUGGUAGUCCACGCCGUAAACGAUGCUAACUCGUUUUUGGGUUUUCGGAUUCAGAGACUAAGCGAAAGUGAUAAGUUAGCCACCUGGGGAGUACGAACGCAAGUUUGAAACUCAAAGGAAUUGACGGGGGCCCGCACAAGCGGUGGAUUAUGUGGUUUAAUUCGAUGAUACGCGAGGAACCUUACCAAGGCUUAAAUGGGAAAUGACAGGUUUAGAAAUAGACUUUUCUUCGGACAUUUUUCAAGGUGCUGCAUGGUUGUCGUCAGCUCGUGCCGUGAGGUGUUAGGUUAAGUCCUGCAACGAGCGCAACCCCUGUCACUAGUUGCCAUCAUUAAGUUGGGGACUCUAGUGAGACUGCCUACGCAAGUAGAGAGGAAGGUGGGGAUGACGUCAAAUCAUCACGGCCCUUACGCCUUGGGCCACACACGUAAUACAAUGGCCGGUACAGAGGGCAGCUACACAGUGAUGUGAUGCAAAUCUCGAAAGCCGGUCUCAGUUCGGAUUGGAGUCUGCAACUCGACUCUAUGAAGCUGGAAUCGCUAGUAAUCGCGCAUCAGCCAUGGCGCGGUGAAUACGUUCCCGGGCCU
rnacentral:rRNA from 1 species